GACGAACGCUGGCGGCGUGCUUAACACAUGCAAGUCGAACGGAAAGGCCCUGCUUUUGUGGGGUGCUCGAGUGGCGAACGGGUGAGUAACACGUGAGUAACCUGCCCUUGACUUUGGGAUAACUUCAGGAAACUGGGGCUAAUACCGGAUAGGAGCUCCUGCUGCAUGGUGGGGGUUGGAAAGUUUCGGCGGUUGGGGAUGGACUCGCGGCUUAUCAGCUUGUUGGUGGGGUAGUGGCUUACCAAGGCUUUGACGGGUAGCCGGCCUGAGAGGGUGACCGGCCACAUUGGGACUGAGAUACGGCCCAGACUCCUACGGGAGGCAGCAGUGGGGAAUAUUGCACAAUGGGCGGAAGCCUGAUGCAGCAACGCCGCGUGCGGGAUGACGGCCUUCGGGUUGUAAACCGCUUUCGCCUGUGACGAAGCGUGAGUGACGGUAAUGGGUAAAGAAGCACCGGCUAACUACGUGCCAGCAGCCGCGGUGAUACGUAGGGUGCGAGCGUUGUCCGGAUUUAUUGGGCGUAAAGAGCUCGUAGGUGGUUGAUCGCGUCGGAAGUGUAAUCUUGGGGCUUAACCCUGAGCGUGCUUUCGAUACGGGUUGACUUGAGGAAGGUAGGGGAGAAUGGAAUUCCUGGUGGAGCGGUGGAAUGCGCAGAUAUCAGGAGGAACACCAGUGGCGAAGGCGGUUCUCUGGGCCUUUCCUGACGCUGAGGAGCGAAAGCGUGGGGAGCGAACAGGCUUAGAUACCCUGGUAGUCCACGCUGUAAACGGUGGGUACUAGGUGUGGGGUCCAUUCCACGGGUUCCGUGCCGUAGCUAACGCUUUAAGUACCCCGCCUGGGGAGUACGGCCGCAAGGCUAAAACUCAAAGGAAUUGACGGGGCCCCGCACAAGCGGCGGAGCAUGCGGAUUAAUUCGAUGCAACGCGUAGAACCUUACCUGGGUUUGACAUGGAUCGGGAGUGCUCAGAGAUGGGUGUGCCUCUUUUGGGGUCGGUUCACAGGUGGUGCAUGGCUGUCGUCAGCUCGUGUCGUGAGAUGUUGGGUUAAGUCCCGCAACGAGCGCAACCCUUGUUCACUGUUGCCAGCACGUUAUGGUGGGGACUCAGUGGAGACCGCCGGGGUCAACUCGGAGGAAGGUGGGGAUGACGUCAAGUCAUCAUGCCCCUUAUGUCCAGGGCUUCACGCAUGCUACAAUGGCUGGUACAGAGAGUGGCGAGCCUGUGAGGGUGAGCGAAUCUCGGAAAGCCGGUCUCAGUUCGGAUUGGGGUCUGCAACUCGACCUCAUGAAGUCGGAGUCGCUAGUAAUCGCAGAUCAGCAACGCUGCGGUGAAUACGUUCCCGGG
rnacentral:rRNA from 1 species